UACGUAGGGGGCAAGCGUUGUCCGGAAUCAUUGGGCGUAAAGCGCGUGUAGGCGGCCCGGUAAGUCCGCUGUGAAAGUCCAGGGCUCAACCCUGGGAUGCCGGUGGAUACUGUCGGGCUCGAGUCCGGAAGAGGCGAGUGGAAUUCCUGGUGUAGCGGUGAAAUGCGCAGAUAUCAGGAGGAACACCGGUGGCGAAGGCGGAUCUCUGGGCCUUACCUGACGCUGAGGCGCGAAAGCUAGGGGAGCGAACAGG
rnacentral:rRNA from 1 species